rnacentral:rRNA from 1 species
CCUACGGGUGGCAGCAGUGAGGAAUAUUGGUCAAUGGGAGAGAUCCUGAACCAGCCAAGCCGCGUGAGGGAAGACGGCCCUAUGGGUUGUAAACCUCUUUUGUCGGAGAACAAAACCCGGGACGUGUCCCGGACUGCGUGUAUCCGAAGAAAAAGCAUCGGCUAACUCGGUGCCAGCAGCAGCGGUAAUACGGAGGAUCCGAGCGUUAUCCGGAUUGAGUGGGAUUAAAGGGAGCGUAGGUUGAUUUGUAAGUCAGUUGUGAAAGUUUGCGGCGCAACCGUAAAAUUGCAGUUGAAACUGGCAGUCUUGAGUACAGUAGAGGUGGUCGGAAUUCGUAGUGUAGCGGUGAAAUGCUUAGAUAUCACGAAGAAAUCCGAUGGCGAAGGCAUCUCACGAAUCCGCGAUUGACGCUGAUGCACGAAAGCGUGGGUAGCAAACAGGAUUAGAUACCCUAGUAGUC